UGACCUAACUUCCCUCAAGUCUUAUAUCAGAUUUGGACUUUGCUUUUCCCUGACAAAAAGUGUGACUUUUUACUCGUCUUUUUUCUCUCCCUCAAUAUCCCUUCACCCUGUUCAAGCAAAUUUUCAUGGGUCUUUCACCGUGGCCAGAGAUUAGCUACCCUAUUUUUCUAUCAUUGUAUUCUCAAUCACAUAGCCUGUAAAACUAGCCAAAGACUUCAAUGUUCAACAACCCCAAACGUUAGAAUUUCAAUGGAAAAAAAAUUCAAGAUAGAAUAUAGGAUUUCAGCAUCUUUCAUUGGACAAUCUAUCAUGAGUAUAUCCAAGGCGACGUCUUAGUUCACUGCCCCACAAAAGGAGCGUGUUUGGAGUUACGAUUUAACUCCAUCUCUAUCCAAAUUAGAGAAGCGACUAAUAUGCAUCGUCCAAUCGUGUCUAGAAGGAUACUCCUUCCCAAAGAGUCCAUUACUUUCCUUUCUACUUCCAAGCUUUAUAUAUUUUUUUUCUUGCGAGACAUACUCACUGUUUUUUGAUUAAUGGUUUGUACAUUAUCAUCUUGUUAUUUAUAUUUGUACUUGCCUCAAUUAUGUUUGGAUUCGUGCUAACCAACUAGGAAAGAUAGUUCAACAUAGUCGUAUAUUUACCCACCUCUCAAGAAGAUGUAACAUUUAAAGUUUAGCUAUUUUUGAAUCCAAGGAAUAUACCCAAAUAGAAAUUUCCUUUUA